UACUCCCGCCGGCGACCGGCGCACGGGUGAGUAACACGUAUGAAACCUGCCCGUAGCAGGGGGAUAAGCGGAAGAAAUUCCGUCUAAUACCGCGUAACAACCCGAGGAGGCAUCUCCUUGGGUUUAAAGGAAGCGAUUCCGGCUACGGAUGGUCAUGCGUCGCAUUAGCUAGUUGGCGGGGUAACGGCCCACCAAGGCGACGAUGCGUAGGGGUUCUGAGAGGAAGGUCCCCCACACUGGUACUGAGACACGGACCAGACUCCUACGGGAGGCAGCAG
rnacentral:rRNA from 1 species